CUUGAACGCUGGCGGCCGGCCUAACACAUGCAAGUCGCACGAGUGGCGGACGGGUGAGUAAUGUCUGGGAAACUGCCCGAUGGAGGGGGAUAACUACUGGAAACGGUAGCUCAUACCGCAUACCAUCGGAUGUGCCCAGAUGGGAUUAGCUAGUAGUUGGGGUAACGGCUCACCUAGGCGACGAUCCCUAGCUGGUCUGAGCGGAUGACCACCCACACUGGAACUGAGACACGGACCAGACUCCGACGGGAGGCAGCAGUGGGAAAUAUGGCACAAUGGGCGAAAGUCUGUGGCAGCCACGCCGCGUGUAUGAAGAAGGCCGUCGGGUUGUAAAGUACUUUCAGCGAGGAGGCGUUACUCGAAGAAGAAGCACCGGCUAACUCCGGGCCAGCAGCCGCGGUAAUAC
rnacentral:rRNA from 1 species